rnacentral:rRNA from 1 species
GAGUUUGAUCAUGGCUCAGAACGUACGCUGGCGGCACGCCUAAUACAUGCAAGUCGAACGAAGUAGCAAUACUUAGUGGCAGACGGGUGAGUAACAUGUGGGUAUCUUCCCUUUGGUGAGGAAUAACACGAGGAAACUUGUGCUAAUACCUCAUAAGUCUUUACGGAGAAAGCUUUAUGCGCCAUUGGAUGAGCCUGCACUUGAUUAGUUGGUGGGGUAAUGGCCUACCAAGACUUUGAUCAAUAGCUGAUUUGAGAGGAUGAUCAGCCACA